GAGCAGGAGGUUGGUAAUGGUAAAAUAACAGUAUCAGAGAAGAAUACAGGAGCAGGAGGUUGGUAAUGGUAAAAUAACAGUAUUAGAGAAGAAUACAGGAGCAGGAGGUUGGUAAUGGUAAAAUAACAGUAUCAGGGAAGGCUACAGUAGCAGGAGGUUGGUAAUGGUAAAAUAACAGUAGCAGGGAAGAAUACAGGAGCAGGAGGUUGGUAAUGGUAAAAUAACAGUAUCAGGGAAGAAUACAGGAGUAGGAGGUUGGUAAUGGUAAAAUAACAGUAUCGGAGAAGAAUACAGGAGUAGGAGGUUGGUAAUGGUAAAAUAACAGUACCAGAUAAUACAGGAGCAGGAGGUUGGUAAUGGUAAAAUAACAGUGUCAGAGAAAAAUACAGGAGCAGGAGGUUGGUAAUGGUAAAAUAACAGUGUCAGAGAAAAAUACAGGAGCAGGAGGUUGGUAAUGGUAAAAUAACAGUAUUAGAAGAAUACAGGAGCAGGAUGUUGGUAAUGGUAAAAUAACAGUAUCAGAAGAAUACAGGAGUCGGAGGUUGGUAAUGGUAAAAUAACAGUAUCAGAAGAAUACAGGAGUAGGAGGUUGGUAAUGGUAAAAUAACAGUAUCAGAAGAAUACAGGAGCAGGAGGUUGGUAAUGGUAAAAUAACAGUAGCAGGGAAGAAUACAGGAGCAGGAGGUUGGUAAUGGUAAAAUAACAGUAGCAGGGAAGAAUACAGGAGCAGGAGGUUGGUAAUGGUAAAAUAACAGUAUCAGGGAAGAAUACAGGUGCAGGAGGUUGGUAAUGGUAAAAUAACAGUAUCAGAGAAGAAUACAGGAGCAGGGGGUUGGUAAUGGUAAAAUAACAGUAUCAGGGAAGAAUACAGGAGCAGGGGGUUGGUAAUGGUAAAAUAACAGUAUCAGGGAAGAAUACAGGAGCAGGAGGUUGGUAUUGGUAAAAUAACAGUAUCAGAGAAGAAUACAGGAGCAGGAGGUUGGUAAUGGUAAAAUAACAGUAUCAGUGAAGAAUACAGGAGCAGGAGGUUGGUAAUGGUAAAAUAACAGUAUCAGAAGAAUACAGGAGCAGGAGGUUGGUAAUGUUAAAAUAACAGUAUCAGGGAAGAAUACAGGAGCAGGAGGUUGGUAAUGGUAAAAUAACAGUAUCAGAGAAGAAUACAGGAGCAGGAGGUUGGUAAUGGUAAAAUAACAGUAUCAGGGAAGAAUACAGGAGCAGGAGGUUGGUAAUGGUAAAAUAACAGUAUCAGAGAAGAAUACAGGAGCAGGAGGUUGGUAAUGGUAAAAUAACAGUAUCAGAAGAAUACAGGAGCAGGAGGUUGGUAAUGGUAAAAUAACAGUAUCAGAGAAGAAUACAGGAGCAGGAGGUUGGUAAUGGUAAAAUAACAGUAUCAGUGAAGAAUACAGGAGCAGGGGGUUGGUAAUGGUAAAAUAACAGUAUCAGAGAAAAAUACAGGAGCAGGAGGUUGGUAAUGGUAAAAUAACAGUAUCAGAAGAAUACAGGAGCAGGGGGUUGGUAAUGGUAAAAUAACAGUAUCAGAGAAAAAUACAGGAGCAGGAGGUUGGUAAUGGUAAAAUAACAGUAUCAGAAGAAUACAGGAGUAGGAGGUUGGUAAUGGUAAAAUAACAGUAUCAGGGAAGAAUACAGGAGCAGGAGGUUGGUAAUGGUAAAAUAACAGUAUCAGGGAAGAAUAUAGGACCAGGAGGUUGGUAUUGGUAAAAUAACAGUAUCAGAGAAGAAUACAGGAGCAGGAGGUUGGUAAUGGUAAAAUAACAGUAUCAGAGAAGAAUACAGGAGUAGGAGGUUGGUAAUGGUAAAAUAACAGUAGCAGGGAAGAAUAUAGGACCAGGAGGUUGGUAUUGGUAAAAUAACAGUAUCAGAGAAGAAUACAGGAGCAGGAGGUUGGUAAUGGUAAAAUAACAGUAUCAGAAGAAUACAGGAGCAGGAGGUUGGUAAUGGUAAAAUAACAGUAUCAGGGAAGAAUACAGGAGCAGGAGGUUGGUAAUGGUAAAAUAACCGUAUCAGAGAAGAAUACAGGAGCAGGAGGUUGGUAAUGGUAAAAUAACCGUAUCAGAGAAGAAUACAGGAGCAGGAGGUUGGUAAUGGUAAAAUAACAGUA